rnacentral:rRNA from 1 species
AUUGAACGCUGGCGGCAUGCCUUACACAUGCAAGUCGAACGGCAGCACGGGAGCUUGCUCCUGGUGGCGAGUGGCGAACGGGUGAGUAAUGCAUCGGAACGUGCCCUGAAGUGGGGGAUAACGUAGCGAAAGUUACGCUAAUACCGCAUAUUCUGUGAGCAGGAAAGCAGGGGAUCUUCGGAACCUUGCGCUUUUGGAGCGGCCGAUGUCGGAUUAGCUAGUUGGUGGGUAAAGGCCCACCAAGGCGACGAUCCGUAGCGGGUCUGAGAGGAUGAUCCGCCACACUGGAACUGAGACACGGUCCAGACUCCUACGGGAGGCAGCAGUGGGAAUUUUGGACAAUGGGCGCAAGCCUGAUCCAGCCAUGCCGCGUGAGUGAAGAAGGCCUU